rnacentral:rRNA from 1 species
CAGCCGCCGCGGGAAUACGGAGGGUGCAAGCGUUAAUCGGAAUUACUGGGCGUAAAGCGUGCGCAGGCGGUUCGUUAAGACAGAUGUGAAAUCCCCGGGCUUAACCUGGGAACUGCAUUUGUGACUGGCGAGCUAGAGUAUGGCAGAGGGGGGUAGAAUUCCACGUGUAGCAGUGGAAUGCGUAGAGAUCGGGAGGAACAUCAGUGGCGAAGGCGGCCAUCUGGGACAACACUGACGCUGAGGCACGAAAGCGUGGGGAGCAAACAGGAUUAGAUACCCCGGUAGUCCCUGUCUCUUAUCC